UACACGAUUUUGGCAACGAAUUUUAGGUUUCGCAUCAAUAAAAAAGUACCAAAUUGCAAUAUUUGUUGUGAAUUGCAAAUCCCGUGAACCUCAAUUUUUAAACCCAAUUGCCCCAAACCCUUAGGCCAAGGGCACUUUUGCUUGGGCUUCACGAAUCGGUCGAAAGGUCGUGGCAAGCGGGGGGCGAAUUGGCUUCCCGUG
rnacentral:rRNA from 1 species